rnacentral:lncRNA from 1 species
CAAUACACUCAACAAUAUUUUUUCUUAAACCCGUGUCACUCCCUCCUAGGAAGUUCUUUCAUGGACGGAGGGAGUACCAAUCAAGCAUAAAAUUCAUACUAAACACCAAAAAUAUAUGCAUAUAAAUACGCCUAAUCAAACUCCGCCACAUUUAGACAAUGCUCGCCCUCGAGCACAUGAAGAACAGAAAAACAAAAAACAAAAAAAAAACAAGGGAAGAACAAAUUCAAGACUCAAAACAAGACAAGACUAAACUCACAAACUAACAACGACUAGCUAUGGCAACAAUCAUAACAAGCAAAUCUCAAAGUUAGAACAAGAUGCAAUCAUCAUUUUUCCUCAAAUCAUUCUUGGAAUCAACAAAUAUGUGCAUUCACCUUUCAUUCGAGUCAAAAGUGUGCAAAUCAACCCAGUCUCACCAAGUUCGCUCAAUU